GAUGAACGCUGGCGGCGUGCUUAACACAUGCAAGUCGAACGGUGAAGCAGGAGCUUGCUCCUGUGGAUCAGUGGCGAACGGGUGAGUAACACGUGAGCAAUCUGCCCUGGACUCUGGGAUAAGCGUUGGAAACGACGUCUAAUACCGGAUACGAGGCGUGGGGGCAUCCCCAACGCCUGGAAAGAACUUCGGUCCAGGAUGAGCUCGCGGCCUAUCAGGUAGUUGGUGGGGUAACGGCUCACCAAGCCUACGACGGGUAGCCGGCCUGAGAGGGUGACCGGCAACACUGGGACUGAGACACGGCCAAGCCUCCUACGGGAGGGAGCAGUGGGGAAUAUUGCACAAUGGGCGCGAGCCUGAUGCAGCAACGCCGGGUGAGGGACGACGGCCUUCGGGUUGUAAACCUCUUUUAGCAGGGAAGAAGCGAAAGUGACGGUACCUGCAGAAAAAGCACCGGCUAACUACGUGCCAGCAGCCGCCGUAAUAC
rnacentral:rRNA from 1 species